AACGAACGCUGGCGGCGUGCCUAACACAUGCAAGUCGUGCGAGAAAGUUUCCUUCGGGGAAGCGAGUAAAGCGGCGCACGGGUGAGUAACACGUAGGUAACCUACCUUUCAGUCCGGAAUAACCAGCUGAAAAGCUGGCUAAUGCCGGGUAAGACCACGACCUCUACGGGGGUCGCGGCCAAAGGCGGCCUCUUCAUGAAAGCUGAUGCUGAGAGAUGGGCCUGCGCACCAUAGCUAGUUGGUGAGGUAAUAGCUCACCAAGGCUUUGAUGGUUAGCUGGUCUGAGAGGAUGACCAGCCACACUGGGACUGAGACACGGCCCAGACUCCUACGGGAGCAGCAGUGGGAAUA
rnacentral:rRNA from 1 species